rnacentral:rRNA from 1 species
AUACGGAGGGUGCAAGCGUUAAUCGGAAUUACUGGGCGUAAAGCGCGCGUAGGCGGAUAUUUAAGUCUCAUGUGAAAGCCCUGGGCUCAACCUGGGAACUGCAUGGGAUACUGGGUAUCUAGAAUACAGUAGAGGGUAGUGGAAUUUCAGGUGUAGCGGUGAAAUGCGUAGAGAUCUGAAGGAACAUCAGUGGCGAAGGCGACUACCUGGACUGAUAGUGACGCUGAGGUGCGAAAGCGUGGGGAGCAAACGGGAUUAGAAACCCUAGUAGUCC